UAGGGAAUAUUGGUCAAUGGGCGAAAGCCUGAACCAGCCAUGCCGCGUGCAGGAAGACGGCCUUCUGGGUUGUAAACUGCUUUUAUCAAGGAAGAAAAAGGUCCUGCGGGGCAAAUUGACUGUAUUUGAUGAA
rnacentral:rRNA from 1 species